UGCUCAGCACGGAGCCGGACUCGGGGCUUGAUCUCCCAACUCUGAAAUCAUGACCUGAACCGAAAUCAAGAACCAGACACUUAACUGACUGAGCCACCCAGGUGCCCCACCAAGCUUUCUUUUGAGCCCCCUGUGGCACUACUGAAAAUGUUCUCGAUUAUUCCCCGGCUCAGGGCUUCCUCAGAAGGAGAGACAGUGGUAGUGGGAGGGGCUUGGGGGCUGAAUGUCAUGGGAGCAGACGCCUCUCAAAGGAGCAAGCAGCAUGGAGAACUUCCUGCUUCCCACAGUCUGCUGGCUCUGGCUUGUUUCCAUGGGGUUCUUUGGCCAGCAGGCAGGGCCAUCCUGAAAGCUGGACCGACCUCCCAGAAGGCCUGACAAGAUGACAGGGGAAGACCCAUGGCCAGAAGUCGGUACAGCUUCCUUCUGUGGAGGCGGAGAGCCUGGCCUCCCGGUCUCCUUCCUCCAAAAGCCCUCUCCCUUGGGGCACAUAGGAAGGAAUCUUCCAGAGAUCCCAGACACUCACGGACGAGCCCCAGAGGGAGGAGGAAGAGAGAAGGCAUUCCGUCAGAACCCCCACCCAAGGCUGUGACUGUGGGUAAGGCAAGAUGGUGGGGCCUUGUGAGGGACUUUCAGCCGGGCUCUACCCUACCGGGGUCUCCUGGAAGGAGGACGACAGCUCUGCUGGGCCGGGGGGUGGGAGAGAUUCAUCCUGCUGCCCCCUCACUCAGAUACCUUCACUAUCUCCCUACAGCUAGCCUGAAAAAGCUCCGUGUCCUCAGCCUGGCAUUGAGGCCUCCAGCUGCAGCCUGCCCUAACCUGCCUCCCCUUCCUGCUCUACCCUCUGCCCCAGCCUCACCACUCUACUCUCUGGGUCCUGAACCGGCCUCGCACUUUCCACGCCUCCCUCCUUCUCUUGGACCUUUUUGGUUUAUUCGGUGUCUUCCAGCCUCAGAGCUGGUAUAGGCCCCAGCACUUGCACAGUGGGGCCGGAGUGUGCUGGCUGCUGGAUCACGCCCACCCACCGUGUUCGUCCCACUCACCUGGGCCCUGGGCACUGAUGCUAUCUCCCUGAUAUUUAAGGCUUCACGGAAACUGUGCCACAUCCUUUACUUGGGGUACCCCUUUCAGCUCAGUGCUGAGCACAUCGGAGGAGCACCAGCCAUCACGACUGAUUUGCGUUAAAUGGGUCCUUCUGACAUCUCUUCUAGCGUUUGGGCAUUUGCCAAGGCAGGGGCUCCAAUCUCUCCCUUUCUGUGCUGGGAUCCGCACUCUGGCCCCCCUUGCGUUAUAAUUUGUAUCUGUGCACCUGUCUCUGCCCCCCUGGCUGAGAGGUGGCCGGAAGGCAGAGACGGGGUCCUGCUUACCAGGACCCUCGGAGGGCACUGGCCACGGGGGUGCUGGGCACAGUUCAGGUUUAAUGCCUGUCGAAUGAAAUCGAGCCUAGGCCCUGGUGCCAGGUGGUGUUGGAGGACUUCUAGGGACCGACACCUCUGUAUUUCCCAGGCAAGUCCUGAUUCCAGCAUUCUGUCCCGUGGUUAGCUCAGGGUCCCAGAGUCGGGGAUGGGAAAGGCGUGACUACUGCGUGGGCAGUGUCACAGGCAAGGUGGGUGGCUGAAGAGCUGAGGGACAAAGGUGGGGAUGACAUGGGGCAUCAGGGAGAGGACGGACAUGUGGACAGAUACGCCAAUUCCGGGUGGCCCAGGCUCAUGGAGGAGUGGGGUCUGAGGAGGCAUUAAAGAUGGGUGACCUCAAAGAUGGCCGACUUGGCUCAGAGACAAUGGGAGCCCUGGCCCUUCAUCCCCUGCUGUCCUUCGCUCUGGCUCAGCUCUUCCAGAAAGGAAUCAGCCCUGGCAGCCUUGGCGUGGAGGGCCGGGCCCACGGUUCUUACAGAACAGGAGGUGACUGGGUUCAGUGGGUUAGGGCCUCCCAGCUGGGACCUAGCACCACCGGGCCAACAAUCUGUGGUCCUCUUUAAUGUCUGCUUCUGGAGUGCUUGAUGGGAAGUGACUUCUGCCUUGAUUGUGGACGUUAAUACUCGCACUAUGCCUUGGGAGGUAGUUCAUCGUGCUCAAACCCCAGCCAAGGCAGCAAGCUUUGAAGACACACCAACAGCCGACCUGGCAUCUAGAAGCAUCAGCUGAAUUUCAGGGGACACUUUAAAGACUGAAGCUGAUCUUAGAGAAGGUUUAAAGAGUCGGAAUACUCUGGAAGUGGAACUGACUGUUCAGACAGAAUGUUUUUACGACUCAGGUCACUCGGACUUUGUGUGACUCAGUUUAUUCCUCUGAAGACUGGGACCAAGGAAUCCUGCCUGACUCACCUCACGGGAAUCGGUGAGAUAGUGAAGGGGAUGUAUAAGGCAGGAUCAAUAGGUCUUUUCUGGCAAACGAGGAGGCAGGAGUACACUCCUGUGGCGCCAGCCUGGGAACAGCUAGGACACCUGUCUGCCCAAAGCAUGCCCACUGACACAGACUUCUGCUCCGCGGUCCUCCCACCAUGCAGUGCUCCCAGGCGGGGCUCCACAGUUUAGAAAACAUUGUCACAGACACCGACUCCCUGCCCCUGCGGCGAUCCUGUGAGGUUCCAGCCGCAUCUCGCCAAUCAGAACCCGGUGAGGUGUGCGGAGGGCCAGUGACAGCCUGACGCUCCGGGCCUGCGACACAGAGCCUCUGACACGGCAUGCUGCUUGUGACACGGUGCCCACCUGGGACCUCUGCCAUCUUAUGCCGAGUCUGCACAGGGAGCGCAUCUGGCGCAUCUGGACACGCUCCCCGCAUCCGCGCCGGCCACGCCCCCGCACGCACAGGCCGUCUGGGGCGCAGGGUACUAUUAGCACAACGCGAUUGGCUUCUUCACAUUGACCCAAUUUUUGCGCAAGGCUCGGCGGACCGGUUGGGACCUUUGGUCCUGGAGGAAAUGCCCCCGUCGGCACCCUGCGCAGGUCAUUAUUUGUAGCCCACUCCCUGCCGAAAAGGGCUCGAGACAACCUGUUGUAAGUUGAAGACCUUGACUUUCUUUUUGCAGCCACGGCAGACAGAGGCAGAGAGACCGGGAGAAACGGGUGAGAGCUCAGGAAAGGCGGGGUGACCACCUAGAGAGCUGGGAAGUGCACCGGAGGGCGACUCCAACCUCCACCCACCUCCACCACGUGAGACGAGAAGCCCGUCUGCGACAUCUCCAGCCCGAAGGACGUUUCGUUCUUGUUGGUGCCUAAAACAGAGGGACAGACAGAUCUCAGCUCCACGUCUGAUCGCUUCGCGCCACACGCACCUGCAUCUCCACCCGCAGCACCGGUGUCCUGGCGGCCCCUUCGGGAGGGCAGAGGGGGGCCCUGAGGCUAAGUCCAGCAGCACCGCCCGCCUGGGUGGCCCCAGAGGCUGGCAGCCUGCACAGGGAGGUGCCAGGCAGUUCCUGUGGCCGCUGGCUUUACUAUUAGUAGCCCCGUCACUUCUAGAAAGGGUUUGGGACGAGUUAUAUGACAGAGCAUGUGUGCUAAAUGACUGUCAAAAUAGGGGAAAGAUCAAGAAAAGUGCAUGGAAAGAAAUAGUCUACAUUUUUGGCAAGAAGUGGAAAUUCCAUUUCUUUCCUCACUUCUCUCAUUCCUAUUAUUCACCAGCUUUGGUUCCAGAUGCCUCUGGAUGAUUCCCAAAUGCCGGCUCGACCCUUGGGAGGGAGACCUGUCACCACCAUAGUUUUGCACAAGAAACCCAUGUGUGCUGAACAGCACCCCGCCCCC